UCAAAGAUUAAGCCAUGCAUGUGUCAGUACAAGCUAAACUAAAGUGAAACCGCGAAAGGCUCAUUAAAUCAGCUAUGAUUCAUUGGAUCUGUACACCCAGUUUUCCUUGGAUAACUGUGGUAAUUCUAGAGCUAAUACAUGCACAUAUAGUCCCUGACCCCGAGAGGGGAAAGGGCGCUUUUAUUAGUAUCUCAAAACCGGUCGUCGGGCUUCGGUCCGUAAACCCCUAUUGUGAUGACUCUGGAUAACUUUUAGCUGAGCGCACGGUCUUUUGCACUGGCGCCGCUUCUUUCAAGUGUCUGCCUUAUCAGCUUUCGAUUGUAGGUUAUGUGCCUACAAUGGCUAUAACGGGUAACGGGGAAUCAGGGUUCGAUUCCGGAGAGGGAGCCUGAGAAACGGCUACCACAUCUAAGGAAGGCAGCAGGCACGCAAAUUACCCACUCCCGGCACGGGGAGGUAGUGACGAAAAAUAAUGAUGCGAGACUCAUCCGAGGCCUUGCAAUCAGAAUGAGUACACUUUAAAUCCUUUAACGAGGACCCAUUGGAGGGCAAGUCUGGUGCCAGCAGCCGCGGUAAUUCCAGCUCCAAUAGCAUAUAUUAAAGUUGUUGUGGUUAAAAAGCUCAUAGUUGGAUUACAGUUGUGGACUGAUGGUAUAUACACCUAUCGGUGCUUACUAUCACGCUCCUAAACGCGCUCGCUUUGUCGAGCCUCGCUAGCUCGCACGGGGUGCUCUUGAUCGAGUGUCCCGAGUGGCUGGUAUGUUUACUUUGAAAAAAUUAGAGUGCUCAGAGCAGGCUCCUAUUAUGGCCUGAAUGCUUAUGCAUGGAAUAAUGAAAUAAGACCUCGAUUCCAUUUUGUCUGGUUUUUAUGGAAUUGGAGGUAAUGACUAAUAGAGACAAACGGGGGCAUUUGUAUUGCGACGCUAGAGGUGAAAUUCUUGGACCGUCGCAAGACAAACAACUGCGAAAGCAUUUGCCAAGGAUGUUUUCAUUAAUCAAGAACGAAAGUUAGAGGUUCGAAGGCGAUCAGAUACCGCCCUAGUUCUAACCAUAAACGAUGCUGACCAGCAAUCCGCCGGCGUUAUUCCCAUGACCCGGCGGGCAGCUUCCGGGAAACCAAAGUCUUUGAGUUCCAGGGGAAGUAUGGUUGCAAAGCUGAAACUUAAAGGAAUUGACGGAAGGGCACCACCAGGAGUGGAGCCUGUGGCUUAAUUUGACUCAACACGGGAAACCUCACCAGGCCCAGACACUGGAAGGAUUGACAGAUUGAGAGCUCUUUCUCGAUUCAGUGGGUGGUGGUGCAUGGCCGUUCUUAGUUGGU
rnacentral:rRNA from 1 species